rnacentral:rRNA from 1 species
AACGUAGGAUCCGAGCGUUAUCCGAAUUCACUGGGCGUAAAGCGCGAGCAGGCGGUUCAAUAAGUUGGAUGUGAAAGCUCCCGGCUCAACUGGGAGAGGCCGUUCAAUACUGUUGGGCUAGAGGGCAUCAGAGGGAGGUGGAAUUCCCGGUGUAGUGGUGAAAUGCGUAGAUAUCGGGAGGAACACCAGUGGCGAAGGCGGCCUCCUGGGAUGCACCUGACGCUGAGAAGCGAAAGCUAGGGGAGCGAACGGG